AAAGGUUUUAUUCUAGCCUAGAAUUUUAGUGUUUAAUUUUUUUUACAUGCGUAGAUUUAAUGUUUAUACAACGUUUUGUUACAGUAUUUAAUUUUAUAUAUUUAGGUAUCUAUGAUUUAGAAAUUUAUUUAGUUUUAAUGAAAUUUGUGCCAGCAAUUGCGGUUAUACAAAUAAUGCAGUUAAAACUUUUUGGUUAAUAAUUAUUUAUUAUAAUUAUUUUAAUUGAUUAUAGAACUUUAUUAGGUGGAAUUAUUUUGUUUUAUAUAGUUUUAAUUAUUGUUUAUGAAGUUAUUAAAAUUUUUUGUAAACUAGGAUUAGAUACCCUAUUAUUUUUAUUGUAAAUUUUAUACCUGAUUAUUAAUAGCUUAUUUUCUUUAAAAUUAAAGAUUUUGGCGGUAUUUUAGUCCAUUCAGAGGAACCUGUCCUGUAAUCGAUAAUCCACGAUUUAAUUUACUUUUUUUUUAUUAGUUUGUAUAUCAUCGUGGUUGAAUAUUUUAUAAGAAAAUAAUAAAUAUUCAAGGAGUAUUAUUUUAGAAGAUGUCAGAUCAAGGUGCAGCUUUAUAGAAAAGAAGAGAUGGGUUACAAUAAAUUUAUUUUUGGUUUUGAUUUUUUAAUAGAUUAAGUAAGUUGGAUUUGAAUGUAAUAUUUUUUAAUUAGUUAAUGUGAUUAAUAGGCUCUAAAAUAUGCACAUAUUGCCCGUCGCUUUCAUUUAAUAUGAAAUAAGUCGUAACAGAGUAGGUGUACUGGAAAGUGUACCUAGAAAGAUU
rnacentral:ncRNA from 1 species